ACCCAGCAGGACCCAGCAGGACCCAGCGCUCAGGGCAAGCCACAAGAUUCACAGGAAGCUGUGUUUACCCUGGAACAUAGAACAUGGAAGGAACAUGGGGAAGAGCAGUACCAUUGGCCAAUUUCACUUGACCUACCAAGAUCACACAAGCUGCAUUUCAAACUCUGAAGUAUAGUUCUACUUAAAGUGUCACCUUGGAGAUAAAUUAUCCUCUGGAAGAAAGCUGGCUGGCCUGCCCAGUUCCAAAGCAAAGGAAAUGAGAAUCUCAAGUGCUGUGUCUUGCACCAUGAGUUCUGGUUGUAGAUUACAUACCUUCAACCUGACAAGCAAUGGUACCAGCUAUAUGACUGCCUUUCUACUAACUCUCUUUCUAUCACUUUGUAACUAGAGGAAGGAACUAUUCUACAGUGCCCUUCUUCUAAUUAUUUGUAGUUUAGUUUUUGUAUAAGUAUGUAUUAUAUGCGGAUUCUCUCUUUUCCUACCUCUACUCCCCCAUUAAUCCCAUUUGUAUGCUAGACAUUUUUAUUUCCACCUUCAUAGCAUAUGCAUGUACCUGAUAUUUUGUGAUAAAAUCUAGGAGACACCAACAAAAGAAAAAAUAUAUUGUCUUCCUGAGACUUGAUUCUCUAAAUGUGAAUCCCUAGCUAUACCAUCUUCCUACAAGUGACAUAAUUUUCUCCAUUUUUAUGGCUGAAAAGUUUUCAUUUUGUUUACCUAUGUUAAUAAAUUUGCCUAUAACCUGUUGUCC